GUGAAGAUGCAGUGUACCCGCGGCAAGACGGAAAGACCCCGUGAACCUUUACUAUAGCUUGACACUGAACCUUGAGCCUUGAUGUGUCGGAUAGGUGGGAGGCUUUGAAGCGUGGACGCCAGUCUGCGUGGAGCCAACCUUGAAAUACCACCCUUUAAUGUUUGAUGUUCUAACGUUGGCCCCUUACCGGGGUUGCGGACAGUGUCUGGUGGGUAGUUUGACUGGGGCGGUCUCCUCCCAAAGCGUAACGGAGGAGCACGAAGGUUAGCUAAUCCUGGUCGGACAUCAGGAGGUUAGUGCAAUGGCAUAAGCUAGCUUGACUGCGAGCGUGACGGCGCGAGCAGGUGCGAAAGCAGGUCAUAGUGAUCCGGUGGUUCUGAAUGGAAGGGCCAUCGCUCAACGGAUAAAAGGUACUCCGGGGAUAACAGGCUGAUACCGCCCAAGAGUUCAUAUCGACGGCGGUGUUUGGCACCUCGAUGUCGGCUCAUCACAUCCUGGGGCUGAAGUAGGUCCCAAGGGUAUGGC
rnacentral:rRNA from 1 species